UAGUCUCAACGGCUCAACCCUGGUACCAUUUCACUGAACUAGCCGAAAAUCAGCACUAGCCAGAAGGUGGUAAAAAAUGUGAACCCGAUGCUUUUUCCAUCAAGCAUCAUCAUACUUCAGUUGGAUCACAAUAACAGAACACAGAUUGCAGAGUACUGGACACUGUUUAUUAAUUUGGUACAAACUUACAAGUUUACAUUACAGGAUUGCUUCUCCAUUCACAAAGAAGAAAAAGCAAAGUGCACGCAAUUCGAGGGAGCCAUAGAAGAGGGAAGACUUUAUUUUUCAUAGAAAGCUAUAACUUAAACAAGCUCAGCUUUAGUAUGCCGCAAGCGUUACGAAAAAACAACAAAACUACGCAGAGAAGACUUGAAUGGCAAGGAAGAUAGAUGACAAAGGUUUAGCCUGUGUUUUGAAGGCCGGCAGCAAUACCUUUCAUGGUCAGAAUGAGAGUGUCUUCCAGGCCGGGAGCAUACUCGCUCGUCGGGUUAAGCUUCAACAGCUCAGCAGCGGGCUUCAUCCCAUCGUUGUAUUCCUUGGACAGGUGGGGCCUCAGGGCCACGUGGUAGUCAGGGUCUCGAACACGCUUCAGGGUGUAAGCUUGGGAGACGUUGAGGGUUGUGAUAUAUGCAUCGCGGAGACGAAGCCUCUGCUUCAGGUAUGGAUCUCCUUCCAACACUUCUUUGUGGCCAGCAAUCUGUAAUAAUGGAUACAAAGGGUUGCUUGAUUCGUUUCGUUAUCGUUCUUGAUAUGUUAUAAACUUAAAAUGGUAAAAUUCAUGAAUAAGUUACCUGGAGGAGGAAGUCCUUAGUUUGAAGGUACUUGGAUCUCAACUGGUCACCAAACGGACGCAAUUCUGGUGACACGAGGAGCUUGUCGUACAGAGCAGCAAUCUCGGGAUCGCCCUUGGCGAAAACCAUUUCGACCAGAUCAAUCGUGACUCGGAAGAACGGCCACUGGUUGUACAUAUCUUGAAGCAUUUUGAGGUUUUUGAUAUCCUUGUCGAUAACAUGCUUGAAAGCAGCUCCGAAGCCGAGCCAUACUGGUAAAUGGAAUCUUGUCUGUGUCCAGGCGAAAAUCCAUGGGAUCGCACGAAGCGAUUCUAUGCCUCCGCUUGGCUUUCUCCUCUCGACUCUUCCUUCUGCUCAAUGGACGACAGAAUCCUCCACGACGCUCGCCGAGCACCGAUCACGUUCUUGUAGCCAACAGAGAGCAAGUUCCUCUCCUCGAUCGUCAGCUCCACAUCUAGCUUCGCCAAAUUCUUCAUCGCUUCCACCAUUUCUGCAACGUAAAGCAGAUUAAACAAUCGGAUUUCUACUUAUCAGCUCCGAUGCAAAUUAGGUCAUAAGAGCGACUUGAUUUUCUCAAGUGAAGAGGAAUCGGAGAGCAAAAGAAGUCGAGCAAAAUUCUGGAGGAAUCGCUUACCUUCGUAGCGUUCAGCUUGCUCGGCGAGCUUGGCAGUGUAGACGAAUUGGUCUCUUUCAGCCAUGGCGAUAGAGGAAGGUAAAGCUCUGAUUGAACCAGAAAUGGUGCGAGUUGGUGAAGAGUGAGAGAGUAGGAGGAUGAAGAAGAAGAAAUCAAUGAGAGGUUUUAUGAAGGACAAGGACAGAAAUGGAACUUCACAGCUGGGAGUGGGUGGGGGGUAAAAGUGUCAAAUCGCGUCACGCUUGUCGGAUUAGCUGUCGGAAUGUUUUCAUUUGCUUCUCUUUCUUCUCUUUCCGGUACAACUUUACCGUCUGCAUAUAAAAAUAAUAAAGGAGUCGUCGUCGUCGCCGGCGUAAUGAAAAAGUCAAAUUGACUGCGUAAAAGACAAUUAAGAGUAAUUUUUACUACUAAAUAAGAAAAGAGCCAACGACACUGUCAACAUUUCCUCGUCCAUGUCGAAAAUAAAUCAAGAUCGAAAUGAAAGAGACAUGAAUCCAUAAUGGUUUAAUUGUACGCAAUCAGAUUAUAUAAAAGUUAAAGGUAACGAAUCGCAUAUUACAAAAUAUGUAAGAAUCAACGUUGAAACAUAAAAAAGAAGUUAAAAUAUUAUCGUCGGAGUGAGUGUGACUGACUCCUGCCUUGAAAGACUCUCCGAUGUUUGCUACGGGGCGAAACCAACGGCAUUUUUGUACACAUGAUAAGUAGCACCAUGGCUCCAUCACCUUGAAAGCGUGUAUGUGUUUUCAGUUAAAGUUUGUGUAACCGUAACCUUUUACUGUAACUGAUGCUCCACUUUGCUGCAUAAAGCAAAGGCAGUUUCGGUUUAGCUGUUUGCAAAAAGUUGUUGACGUCCCCGCGUUUCAUUAUUACCUCGGAGAGGUUCAAAUUAUAAAGCUGUAGGGACAGUGGCACGAGCCAUGUUUUGGAAGGGGCACUGGCGCUUGCUGUUUAAGGUUAUACAAAUGAGUUCGAGUUCGGCUAGAGUAAUUGGUUAAGUUCGUUUGCAAGUCUUAACAAGUCGAGUAAUUGGAUAAACUCAAUUUAGUAAUGGUACGAGCUGAUUCGCGAGCCAACCGAGCCUAGCCAGGGUUGGCUCGUGCUCACAUCGUGUAUUAUCGUGCAGGCUCACAAGAAGGCUUGUUUUGAAAUCGAGUCGAGUCUCGAUCAAUUUUUUUUCCUGAGCCGAACGACCGAAUUGCUGCAAGACAUAGACCGAGCAGCAAUAACCAGUACACACAGCUGAAGAAGCAGUCCAGCUUUGAACUCAUAUUAGCACAUCGACUAUAUCGUCUAGGUUGCGGGUUCGGCUUAAGAACCUUGCGCUAUAAACCAUUAGUCUCAACGGCUCAACCCUGGUACCAUUUCACUGAACUAGCCGAAAAUCAGCACUAGCCAGAAGGUGGUAAAAAAUGUGAACCCGAUGCUUUUUCCAUCAAGCAUCAUCAUACUUCAGUUGGAUCACAAUAACAGAACACAGAUUGCAGAGUACUGGACACUGUUUAUUAAUUUGGUACAAACUUACAAGUUUACAUUACAGGAUUGCUUCUCCAUUCACAAAGAAGAAAAAGCAAAGUGCACGCAAUUCGAGGGAGCCAUAGAAGAGGGAAGACUUUAUUUUUCAUAGAAAGCUAUAACUUAAACAAGCUCAGCUUUAGUAUGCCGCAAGCGUUACGAAAAAACAACAAAACUACGCAGAGAAGACUUGAAUGGCAAGGAAGAUAGAUGACAAAGGUUUAGCCUGUGUUUUGAAGGCCGGCAGCAAUACCUUUCAUGGUCAGAAUGAGAGUGUCUUCCAGGCCGGGAGCAUACUCGCUCGUCGGGUUAAGCUUCAACAGCUCAGCAGCGGGCUUCAUCCCAUCGUUGUAUUCCUUGGACAGGUGGGGCCUCAGGGCCACGUGGUAGUCAGGGUCUCGAACACGCUUCAGGGUGUAAGCUUGGGAGACGUUGAGGGUUGUGAUAUAUGCAUCGCGGAGACGAAGCCUCUGCUUCAGGUAUGGAUCUCCUUCCAACACUUCUUUGUGGCCAGCAAUCUGUAAUAAUGGAUACAAAGGGUUGCUUGAUUCGUUUCGUUAUCGUUCUUGAUAUGUUAUAAACUUAAAAUGGUAAAAUUCAUGAAUAAGUUACCUGGAGGAGGAAGUCCUUAGUUUGAAGGUACUUGGAUCUCAACUGGUCACCAAACGGACGCAAUUCUGGUGACACGAGGAGCUUGUCGUACAGAGCAGCAAUCUCGGGAUCGCCCUUGGCGAAAACCAUUUCGACCAGAUCAAUCGUGACUCGGAAGAACGGCCACUGGUUGUACAUAUCUUGAAGCAUUUUGAG
rnacentral:lncRNA from 1 species